ACUCCUACGGGAGGCAGCAGUGGGGAAUAUUGCACAAUGGGCGCAAGCCUGAUGCAGCCAUGCCGCGUGUAUGAAGAAGGCCUUCGGGUUGUAAAGUACUUUCAGCAGUGAGGAAGGUGGUGCAGUUAAUAGCUGUAUCAUUUUGACGUUAGCUGCAGAAGAAGCACCGGCUAACUCCGUGCCAGCAGCCGCGGUAAUACGGAGGGUGCGAGCGUUAAUCGGAAUUACUGGGCGUAAAGCGCAUGCAGGUGGUUUGUUAAGUCAGAUGUGAAAGCCCGGGGCUCAACCUCGGAAAUUGCAUUUGAAACUGGCAGACUAGAGUACUGUAGAGGGGGGUAGAAUUUCAGGUGUAGCGGUGAAAUGCGUAGAGAUCUGAAAGGAAUACCGGUGGCGAAAGGGCGGCCCCCUGGGACAGAUACUGACACUCAGAUGCGAAAGCGUGGGGAGCAAAACAGGAUUAGAUACCCUGGUAGGAUAGCG
rnacentral:rRNA from 1 species